GCCUGUGUGGCUCAGCGGGUUGAGCGUCUGACUUUAGCUCAGGUCGUGAUAUCACGGUUCUGAAUGUGAGUUCAAACCCUGCAUCGGGCU
rnacentral:tRNA from 1 species